GUUACUGUUAUUUUAGAAUUCUGUAAACCUUGAAAUAUAUUGUGAACUCAUGUAUGAUGUAAGUGUAAACUUUUUUUUGAGUGUGCCAAACAGUUUGAGUAAAUAUUCUGUAACUGAAAAAAACAACUUCAUCCCAUGUAUUAUGUGAUUUUAAUUUUGCACUUUGAUACAUAAUUUUCAAUUUCAGCGAACAAAGAUGUAGGAGAACCAAAAAUAAUUUUUGAUAUUAUGGUAUAUGCCAAUUUAAUAUGUUUUGAAUAUGUGUCGUAAAACUAAUGGUAAGUAAUGUUAUCAAAAUAUAGAAUAUUAUAUUUGCUUUUCAUCUAAUAUAUGUAUAACUAAUGUUAAAAUAUGC